AGAAUCUGCUCUAGACCUUCAGUUCUCACUACUGCAAGAAAGGAUACCACAUUUUGUGCUGGAG
rnacentral:lncRNA from 12 species